GCCGGCCGCGCGGUGGCUGUAAAAGCAAACUGACUUGUAAUCAGUAGGUCCCGGGUUCGACUCCUGGUGCCGGCACCA
rnacentral:tRNA from 1 species